rnacentral:lncRNA from 1 species
GAGUAGGCCCCACUGCUCUGACCUUCGUUCCCCGUGCAUGUCCAUGUCAACAUCACACCUGCUUUUAAGUAAGUAUGGGAAAAAAAAUUUAAAAUCACAGACAUACCAUAGCACAUGCUUCAUUAAAAGAAAGAGAAUCACACAACCCAACUAUGAGGAAACCCUCGUGAUACAAGUUACAUAGUCAGUGAUCAAUGACCUAUAUAUAGGACAAACUAGAGCAUCAAGAAAAAAUGGGGGAGAGAGGGAGACUCUCAACCUUAGGUCUUGUUUAGAACCAAAUUUUUUUAGAUUUUAAUACUGUAGCACUUUUAUUUUUAUUUGACAAACAUUGCCCAAUCACAGAGUAAGUAGGCUUAAAAGAUUCGUCUCGCGAUUUAUAGACAAACUGUGUGCAAUUAGUUUUUGUUUUCAACUAUAUUUAAUACUCUAUGCAUGUACCGCAAGAUUCAAUAUGACAAAAAAAAAUUAAAAAAAUUGUUUUUAGGUGAACUAAACAAGACCUUAACCCAAGUGAACUGAACCCUCGAGAAUAAAAUAGAUAUCACGCAGCUGCGAGGACCUGUUGUAGCCAGCAUUGACGCGAACGGCGGUGCCUAAAUCGGCUCCUAUCGCGAAAAAAUAUAAUAACUAAUAAAGAUGUCACCAUAUGAAUUGAAUAUGAAUGUACACAGUGACUAGUCUUUCGCCUAGUAGCACUUAUGGCACACAAAAGACACCUCAACUAAACUUUUGUUGAACGAUGCCCG